ensembl:miRNA mir15a-2 microRNA 15a-2
GCCGAGGCUCUCUAGGUGAUGGUGUAGCAGCACAGAAUGGUUUGUGGUGAUACAGAGAUGCAGGCCAUGAUGUGCUGCAGCAUCAAUUCCUGGGACCUACGC